rnacentral:hammerhead_ribozyme from 1 species
AUCUGGCGGAUGAGUCCCAAAUAGGACGAAACGCGCUUCUUGGAU